rnacentral:rRNA from 1 species
AUUGAACGCUGGCGGCAGGCCUAACACAUGCAAGUCGAACGAGUGGCGGACGGGUGAGUAAUGUCUGGGAACCUGCCUGAUGGAGGGGGAUAACUACUGGAAACGGUAGCUAAUACCGCAUACCAUCAGAUGUGCCCAUAUGGGAUUAGCUAGUUGGUGGGGUAACGGCUCACCAAGGCGACGAUCCCUAGCUGGUCUGAGAGGAUGACCAGCCACACUGGGACUGAGACACGGCCCAGACUCCUACGGGAGGCAGCAGUGGGGAAUAUUGCACAAUGGGGGCAACCCUGAUGCAGCCAUGCCGCGUGUAUGAAGAAGGCCUUCGGGUUGUAAAGUACUUUCGGCAGGGAGGCGUUAUCUGCAGAAGAAGCACCGGCUAACUCCGUGCCAGCAGCCGCGGUAAUUC